AGCGGAUGGAAGCAACAGAUGCGUGGGGGCUCGUAUGUGACAUCGCACGUAGUGAAUGUGCAGGCUAGUGGUGCCUUGGGGAGACCACAGCGACACCACUACUUUGGAUGGCGAGCUAGGCCCAACGAGCCAGAACCCCAGCUACAACUUCCUGCGGUCUGGUAGGAGGCUGCUGUGGCCUACACUCUCCCCCCCCUGGUUUUCAGUCCUCUGAAUCUCACUUCUGGGAUCUCAGUCUUGGAAUCUCAGUUCUGAUCAUCACACUUCCAAGUUCAAUCUGUUGCAGACUGUCAUGCGCAUUGGAUUUAUAUCAAUCAUGAAAUAGCAAUUUUAUGGACAUUGUCUGCCGGGGGUUGGAGGAGGUUGCUGCACCAUUGUGCAGCUGAUAUUUUACAAGCUUGAAUUAUGUUUUAUCUUUUCCUGUCUGCAGACUUUGUAAAUAUUGGUAUUUGGUAAUUGCACUUUAUUUUCACUGUAAAUAAUAACCGUAAUCACAAUACCUGUUGUGGUUGUACGUUUAUUAUACUUCACUCACCUCCCAGAGCCGAAUCUGAUAUCUUCUAAAUUAGGUCAACUACUCAUAACUAACUCAAUUUAUCUUAGCUUAUGUACUUGUUACAAUAAACUAUAGCAGUUUUUUUUUAUUAUGAUUAUUUAUUAUGGCAUUUAAAUAAUUGACAGAUACUAAAACAACUUAAAGAAGGAACUCACUGCUUGUUUCUAUCUGAAAGUGUUGAUGCUGAUGGAUUUGAAUAGUGAGUGUUCACUGCCCUCUAGUGGAUACAAUGAGAAAGUGUAUUGCCCCAUUGAAACAACUUGGACAGCGUUUUGGGACUGUCACCAGAGCAGUCUAACCUGUUCAUUGCUGGUUCAUCACAGCACAGGAAUGGUGUAUGUCUGAAAGCAGCUUUAGAUUAAAUGUAAUAGUCUAAAUUCAGAAAAGCAAAAAAGGAACCAACUGGUAUCAUUAUCAGUGACUACACUCAACCAUUUGCAAAACUGGUUCAGUGUAGCAUAUUAAAUAUGUAUUAUAUUGACAUAUUAUUGUAAAAAGCAACCAACCAAACAAACAAAGCUUUAAAUGUAAAUCUGAAAAAAAAAAACUGAUUCCAUUAUUUCUCUAAGCUCACCUCCAAAUUCAGAACAUUGUAGGACACUAUCCUCUACUGGAACUCAGCUGGAAGCACACUCCCAUGAAUGAAAAUCUCUGACCUACUGAGAUUGCUCUGCUGAAGUGCUGCUGAUCACCGACAAAUA